GGAGGGGGCCAGCGUUGUUCGGAAUCAUUGGGCGUAAAGGGCGCGUAGGCGGCCGACCAAGUCGGAGGUGAAAUCCCUCGGCUCAACUGAGGAAUUGCCUCCGAUACUGUUCGGCUUGAGUCCUGGAGAGGGUAGUGGAAUUCCCAGUGUAGCGGUGAAAUGCGUAGAGACUGGGAAGAACACCAGUGGCGAAGGCGGCUACCUGGACAGGUACUGACGCUGAAGCGCGAAAGCUAGGGGAGCAAACAGGAUUAGAUACCCUGGUAGUCCUAGCUGUAAACGAUGGGCACUUGGUGUUGCGGGUAUCGACCCCUGCAGUGCCGAAGCUAACGCAUUAAGUGCCCCGCCUGGGGAGUACGGUCGCAAGGCUGAA
rnacentral:rRNA from 1 species